ensembl:lncRNA novel transcript
CUUAUUUUUACAUACAGGUGUGAGCCAUAUUUACUUACUUAUUUUUACAUACAGGUGUGAGCCAUAUUUACUUAUUUUUACAUACAGGUGUGAGCCAUAUUUACUUACUUAUUUUUACAUACAAUACAAACACUUUAAAUAAAGUUGAAGAUCAUCUCCAUGGACCAGGUGGUCAAGCCGAACACCCAGGAUCCAGCUGUCAAGUUCAGGGUAGCCCCUGAGCUUCUCACUCUGACUCCAACAGGGUGAGCUUGCUAUCCUUGUGGCACAGGGCCUUUUGCAUUGUGGAUGAUGGAGCGGCUCGUAUAGUCCAUAAGUUUUGUGCGUAGCUGUGUACCCUGUCCCUGUGAGCUGGUUCUGCCCGGCACCUCGGUGACCUCGAGGAAAGAAGCUGAGAGACAGAGUCUUGCUUUGUCACCCAGGCUGGAGGGCAGUGGCACCAUCAUAGCUCACUGCAGACUCGAACUCCUGGGCUCAAGGGAUCCUCCUGCCUCGGCCUCCAAAAAUGACGGAGUCUUGCUGUGUCACCCAGGCUGGAGUGCAGUGGUACAAUCUUGGCUCACUCUCACUGCAACCUCUGCCUCCCAGAUUCAAGCAAUUCUCCUUGCCUCAGCCUCCCAAGUAGCUGGGAUUACAGGAGUGCACUACCACGCCUGGCUAAUUUUUGUAUUUUUAGUAGAGAUGGGGUUUCACCAUGUUGGCCAACCUGGUCUUGAACUCCUGACCUCAGGUGAUCCACCCGCCUUGGCCUCCCAAAGUGCUGUGAUUACACGUAUGAGCCACAGCGCCCAGCCUAUAUAACAUUCUUACAAUGAGAACACAACAGAGAUGGAGAACAGAUUGGUAUUUGCAAAGGGACAGAUACAGUGUGUUUGUGUAUGUGCAUGUAUAUGUGUGUGUGCCUGCCACUAUAGUGGUAACACAAGGGGAUUCCUUUGUGGGUCUCUAUCUUGAUUGUGGUGGUAGGUAUACAAAUAUUUAUAUGGAUCAGAUUGCAUAGAAACACACAUGCACAUGCGUGCACACACACACAGGAAUGCAUGUGAAACUGGUGAAUACUGAAUAAGGUCCUCUGUAAUCUAGUUAACAGUAAUGUACCCAUGUCACUUUCCUGGUUUUGAUAUUAUACUAUGGUUAUGUAAGAUGUUCCCACUGUGGGAAUACUGGAUGAAUGUUACGUGGGACUGUAUGUACCAUGCAAUUUCCUGUGAGUCUGUAAGAGUUCAACACAAAAAGUAAUUACAAAAGAAGAAAAGAAAAGGUGCUGGUGAUGACAAGGUUGUUGGGAAAAGGGCUUGUGCGGUGCCUGCAUAAACUGGCCGUAAAAAAUAUGGGACAAUAAGUUGUGGAAAGCCACAGGAGGCCUCUGAUGAGGAAAGCCUUCUAAUUGCCAUCACGUUCCCAUGGCCAGAGCGUGACCUGCUCUCUUAUUUACAAGCACUGUGCUCAAGGAGAAAGACACUCCUUUGAAGCAUUGGAAUGUGGCCAGAUAUGCCGGCUCCUAGUUACGCCCACUCCCCACAGCUGCUCUCCAGUGAGUUAAAGAAUAAAUCAGUAGUUAAGUUUAUGCUGCUUCAGCACAAAGACAAUUUACCUAAACCGCCAUUGCUAUAGAUUAGGUGUAUGACACACCGCCCCCCUUUCACCAUUUCACCCCUGAAUAUCUGCUUCUCAGAUCUAAGUGAUUGUACUCAGUAGUGUGGAGACCAGAGUUUGGCACCUUUUGCAGCCUCCAAAAGUGCAGUUGGCCCCCUGGCACCCCACCCUUUAUGCACUCUUAACCUGUCUCUUCUCAUUCCUUCGUCGCCACCGGACUUUGGGUACCCUACGGGUGGUGUUGAGGCUGGUCCCCAACACAAGGUGACAGCAGCCAUCCCACUCCAUUAGCAACUGUGGUGAUAAGCACUGGUUUAAAAUGGGCUGAAUUGAAAACUGUUACUCUUGCCUUAGUCCAGGGAUUGGCAAACUUUUUCUAUAAGCCCCAGGUAGUAAAUAUUUUAGGCUUUAUGGACCACAUAUAAUCUCUGUUGCAUAUUCGUUUCUCUCUCUGUGUGUC